AGUUUUGCUCAUGAAACAUAAGAAAAAAAAACAAAACAAAACAAACUCUAAAAAUAAACCCUAGGAUAUGCUUUCUUCAUGAAGAUCGAGAGAAAAUAAAACCUAAAAAAAUUCUUCUUCCUUCUUCUCCUUUAUUCACCCAAAAAAAAAUCUUUCUCCAUCGCGAUGGUUCAUUCUUCGUGUCUCUUUUCUUCUCCGUCCUUUCUUCUUCUCGAUUGUCUCUGUUUUUUUUUUGAGUUACUAUUGAUUUAUUUUUGUUUUUCUGUCGCAGGUGAUAUACUUUGAUGGGAAUCUGUAAAAGGGGUCUAAUUAGACUAGGGUUUAUUGUCUUCCCGUUGUUGAUUUGUCUCCCUCACAGGUUUAUCCCCUGAUUCAAGUGAUUUGGUUUUGAAAUCACUGAUUCAGUUUAUAUCUGAUUUCUAUUCCUGAUGUGUUAGGGUUUACUUACUUUGAUACCAUCUUUAAAAUGUGGACUGUGAGAUCCAUGAAAAAUUUGAUGUAUGUUUGUUGAAAGACCUGAACCAGUGUUUUUGUUUGAUUAGCAUAUUUUUGUAAACUUAUUAUAUAAACCCUAACCCUUUUGUUUUGGUUUGCAGGUACGAAAAAAUUAUGGUAGCAAAGAAGGGAAACUCACAACAUAAACACAAAUAUAAGACAAUUGCGUCAUUGGGGCUAUGGAGGAGAAAGGCAAUUAUGUAACCAUUUCCAGUGGUGGUCGGCAUAAUGCCACAAUAAAAGCUUGAACUUUAUAAAAGAUGAUCCAUGAUUGGGAGGGAUUUUCGAUCUCUAGCACUCACAAUUUGUUCCAGCACAAAAAUUGUAACUAGCAUUCCUUCCCGGUCUUCAUGGUUAACGCAAGCCAACAGUGGUUCAGAUGGACGAUAUGUCGAGGGGUAGAUCCAGAUGACAAAUCACAUGUUGAGGUAGGUAUCCUAAAAGCUAAAAUUCAGGAAGGCUAAGGGUAGUUGUGGUGCUGCUUCGGGUGGCUGAUCUAGCCUUACCAAUUAUCUUCAUCUAUAAUAAAAUCUUCUUGGCAGUGUUAUUUAAUUUAUUUACAAAUUUUGAGGGUCUGGACACCUCAAAAUUAAAUUUGCUCACAUAUCCUUACGGUGAAGAUUGCAUUUGUCCAGUGUAAUUUGUUUUGGCAGAAAACAUAACAUUAGAUAAGGCCAAAUAUUUUAAAAUUACAGACCAAUGAAGCAAAAAGCAAGUAGCAAUCCUAUGCAAAAAAAAUUAGGUCAUGAGGAAUUUUGGUUUUGAAUAUCUGAGCGUUACGAUGAAUGGUUAUCUUAUGCAAAACUUUUCAUAGUAUGUAUUGUUACAGUAAGUAAGGCUAAAUAUUUAAGCACAAUCCUUAGAAACUGUUUUUUAUAAGUUGGUUUCAUUGAUUAACCUUCUUAGAUAAUUUUCAUGAAUUUUCGGUGGUAGGAAACAUGGUAGAGGCAAUUAGGUGUAAAUUUGCACUCAUACUUAUAAAUUUGUUGUCAUCUACCUGCAUCGCAUUUUCUUAUACUCUUAGAAAGGGAGAGUGAAUUUUUAUCUUUCAUUUUAUACUUUGAUAUUUAAAAUGAUAUGCUAAUAAUUUUUGUCUUAGCAAGUCUCUACACAGUUUUCGCAUAACAUGCUAGAUUUAACUGAUGGAGUUGUUGAACCGAAACUCACACGGUGGUUCCUAAAAAGCCUAUCUGGAAGUUCAAAUCACUGCUCUGUGGGGUUAGAGAUUCUGCGGAUUACCUGUGUAAAGGUGAUGCAAUCAAGUGUGAUUUUGGGGUUAAUGGAUUUAACUCUUACAGCAACGCAUACUUCAAUGCUUGAUCCAGGGUAUAACCUUCUCUCUUACAACAAUCAAGAUGUAUUCAUCUUGAUUGUACAGAGAUGAAGGUGAACUGUCAACUGGAGAGAUACAAAUGACAGGCAUAUCCCUGCAACAUACGAUGAACCAAUGCAUAAGUUCCCUCCAUGUAGAGUGCACGGUGCUGUUAAGGAAAUUGAAGGUCAAGGGACAACUAUUGAUGUCGUAUUAGUAAAUGGGAUGCCUCAUGAGGGACAUCAGUACACAGGCACAAUAACUUCAAAAGUGAUUUUGAGGAAAAAGGAUGGAUGGAGAGAGUUGGUAUCUGCUAAAAUUCUCUUCUUGAUUAAAGUUCUUAUAUAUACUUUUUUGAGGAACAAAAUGGAGUUUACCAUUGCAAUGGGUUCAGGUAUUUCCCAUAUAACCAGGCAUUUGGUGGUCAUAGAUCAAGAUACAGUAGUGACAAAAUCAAUCAGAAGAAAUAUAGAAGUUGUUGCAGGUGGAUUAAUAAAUAACAAGAGAAGCUGAAGAGUAAGAGGAUGAGGAUGAGAACCACAAUUUUUAAGAGCAACAUCAAAGUGAACCUAUGAAAUUCAGAGAUCAGGUUAAGAAAGUAAGAUCCAUUAUAAUUCAAAAAUCUAAGUUGCGCAAACACAUCGAUUUAGCAUUUGCGGGAAGAAACUUCCAACAGGUCAAGCACCUGGAGGACAUGUAAGAUGCAUCACAAUGGAUUUAGCAUUAACAUUAGUAGUGGACAUAACUCUUCAUCCUCCAUCAAGUAGAUCAUCACUACUAAUAGUUGUACAACUGCUAAUACAGGAGGUGGUCAUCAAGUGGUGCUUGAUUUUGAUCUAAAUGAACCACCGGUGAUGGAAGAGUAACAAAGUAAUAGAUUUAAUUGUGAACAGUGGGGUUAUAUAUCAAGUUUAAUUCAAAAAUGCAACUACAUGUGUCGUUGUCCUGAUAACUUUAAUGUAUGUGUUGUCAUUUAUGUCAUUUUUAUGUUCGGAGCCACAUAUAGCGUGGAUGUAAUAUUUGUAAUUUUUAUGUGAUACUUUGUUUAUACAUAAAUGUGAGCCACACCGGAUCAAAAAUUCAUGACA